UACGUAGGGUGCGAGCGUUGUCCGGAAUUAUUGGGCGUAAAGAGCUCGUAGGCGGUUUGUCACGUCUGCUGUGAAAUCCCGAGGCUCAACCUCGGGCCUGCAGUGGGUACGGGCAGACUGGAGUGCGGUAGGGGAGAAUGGAAUUCCUGGUGUAGCGGUGGAAUGCGCAGAUAUCGGGAGGAACACCAAUGGCGAAGGCAGCUCGCUGGGACGGUACUGACGCUGAGGCGCGAAAGCGUGGGGAGCAAACAGG
rnacentral:rRNA from 1 species